GGUAAGUUUAGAUAACAAAUUGUUCAUGAAUAUGUGAAAUGGAAUCUUUUUUAGCAAAUCAAUUUUCUGUAAGUUUAGAUAACCAAUUGUUCAUGAAUGAAAUUUCAUGUUGCUAAUCUUAAGGAGCUGCUGUUAAAUUAAUUCAUUUACCAGUGUAAAAAAAAAAUGCACGCCAGGCAGCGUACACUUUAAGACAUGACACGCUCAUAGAAAGGUGGUUAUUGUUCUGUGUUUUGGAACUUAUGGGAAGUAAUGUCUUGUUCGCUGUUCGGUGCAUGUUCUCUGCUAGAAGUUAUAAAUAAAUAUUCGCUUCGCAUAAUCGAUUCUCUAUAGCUGUCUCAUGACACUGCGGUCAUCUUUGUAUUUGCAUAUCAUAUUCAAGAAAAAUACACUGUUAUUAUGUUAGUGGAUGCUAAUGCUAAUAUGCUUUUAUAUCUUUCUGUCAUUUGCAAGCUCUUUUGACAAAUAUAUAGGCCGUUUGAGUAAUUUCAUUUAUUAAGGGUAAUCACUUAUUGUUUUUUCUUGAAUUUGGCUUAUUCCAAUGGGUUGUGUGAAUGUGCUUCAAAAGAUUUGAAUUUUCAAACUUGGUCUUCAGAAGCACGAAUUAAUGAUUGGCUAUAUAUAUCAUUAGUUAAAUUUCGGUUACAUUAAAUUAUACGAAGGAUGAAUUAUGCCAAUAUAUGGAUUAUUACAGUUACAGUGAUUGAAAAUUUUGGCGCUGUUGAAAUAGGUUAUUGGAAUAGUUACUAUGGAGUGUUGAGUAGUUGAUCUCAACCUUUUAUGUGAGAGUACCAAGAAUUCAUUGGUGACGAAUGAUUAGAACAUUCAUUAAUGGUGAAAAAUGAUUAGAACAUUCAUUAAAGAAAUUAAUCAGAAAUUCUUUUAAUGUUUGUUUGGAAAGAAAUUACCUAAAUGUGAUAA
rnacentral:misc_RNA from 1 species